rnacentral:lncRNA from 1 species
CCAUCAUGAGGUUUUAACAAAUGAGUUCCCUUGUAUGCAUUAUGGCCAAAAGACCAUUUUUGCAUCAUUAAGGCUUAGCGAGGUUAAAGAGGACAAAAAUAAAAUGAGAGAAAAAUAUAAGCAUGAAAAAAGAGAAAAAGAAAACGCAAAAGAAAAAGAAAAUGAGAGAGAAAAAGAAAAUAAAUAUUUGUAAAAAAAGAAAUAGUGGUGAGAGGGAAAAUAAAGAGA